UCAGCGUGGGCAGUGGCCUCACAGACCCCAUCGUUUUGACCCUUCCUUCUCCUGUGUGCAGUAAUUAAUUGAACAUGCUCCGACAUGAUUUUUUUUACACAAGCUUGGAGAUGGGCCUGAUGUUCCCUCUGCAGCCAGCAAGCUUCCCCUCACAUCAGCAGGCUUGGGAACAGGCUUUUCCUGCAGUGAAUACACAUCUUCCCUCCGGGUUUUUUUGCUCUCCAAACCUUCCUUCCAGGUGUUUGCACCCUAAAUUCCUGUGUGCCACCAAAGGCAUUACUACACCAGGCAAAAGAAAUACCAAGAUUUCUUCUGAGGCUGAAGAGCCAGAGCUUUUUCAUUUUUUUCUGCAGUUCCUACAAGUUCCACAUUUCCAGUUCUACGGAGCGAAAUGGAUUGAGGUAGCGGUAAGAUCUCCAUACAGUGAACUGCAUAAAGAUACCAUAUGCAAACAGAGCUGUUUGUGUCUGAUGAACUUCAUCCUGCACAGAUGCACCUCAGGGCAACCCUGUCCAGCCUGGCCCCGUCUAAGGAGCAAAGUGCAAGGACCUUCAUAAUGUUGUUUACUCACUCUCAAGAUUUCCUCCAGGAGUAAGCAUGUUUUGGGGGUGACAGAGAGGAAUAGAUGGUUAGAGGCUUUCCUAUGGUGUAGCUCAGGAUGCCCAGGUGACAGGUUGAGUGAUGCACUUUGGAGCAGCGAUUCUUCUUGCACUUUGUGAAAGAGCUUUUGCCAGUCAGCCUUGUCUGCAGUGACAGGAGACAGAGACACUCCUUGCUGGUUCUUUCUCAGCCUUCCUCUUGCUCUGUAUAUCCAGACCUCUUCCACAUCUUACUCUAUGGUCACUGCCCAGACUUCACUUGUGUGGUCAACAGAGUUGGAAAUCUUCCUUUCAAGUGUGCUCAUCUGAAACAGAUUUAAAGUAUUUGUACACCCUCCAGAUCCUUCAAAAUACCCCCUGAAGAUCAUCUUAAUUGUGUCUUCUGCAUGGGCAGCCACUGAACUCUUUGAGGACUUCACGGUGAAGAGUGUAAUCUCAAGUUCAGGAAGUUGCCUAACAGAGUCCCUUGGCUUGAUGAGAAAAGAGAAAACAAAAAUAAUAAUGAGUCAUUAAAGGCAAUCAAAAAUUAAUUCUGCAAUAAAUAUAUAUGCAAUCUGUCCCC
ensembl:lncRNA